GGCUUUUACAUAUUCUUUUGGUUGAUCUAACGACGUCGUCGCCGAUCUCACUCGCAGCCAGUGCAAACGACCACUGGCGCCGACGGCCGUGUCCAGCUUAAAAAUAUUAUAAUAUUAUGUUAUUAUUUUUCUCUGUUACCAUACGAAUAUCGAUAUAAUAACUUCAAUAAAGCAACAUACUAGUAAGCAAGUCAAUUAAAUUAUAUUCCUUUAUUGACACAAAUAAAGAUGCUGUAAUCUCGGAAUCUACCGAUGAACACAAUGAUUCAGAUUUUAGAUUCUAAUACAUAAUGCGCCGCUCAAACUAUAACCAGAUCAGCAGAACCUAAUUCAUCGGUAACUACUAAUUCAUCUAACACUCCUUCAAUAAAAUAAAUUAUAAAAUUUAGUGCUUAUUAGUUUGUUAUUAAAUCUUUGUAAAUAAUACACCAAAAGUGCCAAAGAAAUGUUGCAGUACCUUUAUAUAAUUCUAAAACCAAUUGAAGAAUUUAUCGUUUAGAAUAUUGAACUUAUUUAGAAAUUAGAGGGAUAUAACAUAAAUUGAAUUCACUUUAUGGUAAAAUUGAUAUAGUUUUUUAAAAGAAAUUGUUUAGAGACGCGAAAUACCUUCAACAAGAAAUGUACGUAUCUACACAGUAUAAUAUUAAUUCUAAAUUCUGAAUGUAUAGACUCAAAGAAAAACGAUAAAUUUAUUUACAUGGAUUAUAAUGAUUAUAAUAUAUUAUGUUAUUCACAUCAAGUUUUAAAUUCUUUCCUUAUGCGUAAUGAUAUACCUAUAAAACCAAACAUGAUGUCUACUUUGUUUUAAUUUAAAUAUUUGUACUUAAAAUUAAAAAAAUUAAAAAAUGUUUUUUUAAUUUGUAUUUUAAAAUAUGGAGAUUAUCAAUUUUUAAAUUAAAAUUCAAAAUAAUUAUUUAGCUUAAUAUUUUUAAAAAUCGUACAAUUACAACAUUAUUAUUUAUAAUUAAUUUAACCUUUUUUAUUGUCAAAUAAGUUUUGAAUCAUCAAUCAUUUAUUUUUUCUUUAUAUAAUUCAUCUGUUUUAAUGUUAAUUGUAAAUAUAAAUUAAGUAUUUGAUAUAUUUCCUAUACGAAUGCAUUUGUAUUUUCUGCAAUAUUUAAAUUUUAAACUUUGUGUUUUAAAUUUUUCGUUAAUGUUUAUAUAGUAUUAAAAAUACUUAAAUUUUUUUUUGUUAAAUACUGUUGUUUUAUAUAUUGUAUUUUUUAAUUUUAAUAAAUAUAUUAUACUAUUGAGUUA